AGGGAUCAUUAAAGAGUUGCAAAACUCCCAAACCAUUGUGAACUUACCUUCAACGUUGCUUCGGCGGGUUGGCCCCGGUCCCCCGGGGUCCCCCGGCCCUCACGGGCGCCCGCCGGAGGUACCUAACUCUUGAACUUUUAUGGCCUCUCUGAGUCUUUGUACUUAAUAAGUCAAAACUUUCAACAACGGAUCUCUUGGUUCUGGCAUCGAUGAAGAACGCAGCGAAAUGCGAUAAGUAAUGUGAAUUGCAGAAUUCAGUGAAUCAUCGAAUCUUUGAACGCACAUUGCGCCCGCCAGUAUUCUGGCGGGCAUGCCUGUUCGAGCGUCAUUUCAACCAUCAAGCCCCCGGCUUGUGUUGGGGACCUGCGGCUGCCGCAGGCCCUGAAAACCAGUGGCGGGCUCGCUAGUCACUCCGAGCGUAGUAAUACAUCUCGCUCAGGGCGUGCUGCGGGUUCCGGCCGUUAAAAAGCCUUAUUUUACCCAAGGUUGACCUCGGAUCAGGUAGGAAGACCCGCUGAACUUAA
rnacentral:rRNA from 1 species